ensembl:lncRNA
CCAUCGAGCGUGGGGAGCACUCUCCUCCCUCUCCCCGGAGCGUGCACGGAGGAGGUGCCGGGAGCGUCACGUGGAUGGGAGCCCGGUGGGAGAGCUACCCCUUCGGACUGUAGUGACUCACUUUGUUUUGGUCAGUUCCCUACUGAACCCCCAAAGUCCGUGCACAAGGAAGGGAACACCUCCAGACCAGGACAAGGCGCGACCGCUAAAGGAACCCCCAAAUUUACCCCUGGAAUUCCUUUCCCGUGUGAAGUCUUAGCACCACGUCCGGGCGAACGAGCUCAGGCCCCACUGCUGGGUUCACACUGUCGUUGGUUUCGAGGAAGACCCGCCUUUCUCCACAGAGGAGGCCGAGGCCGGGGAGCCCUGGGACGGCAGACAGGAGGGCUGGGGGGCGGGAGAGGGUGUCUGCCACACUGGAAGGCCUGGACCCCCCUCCCAGAGGCCGAGCUGGUCUAUCUUCCAGGAGGAGGAAGUGUCCCCGCGCCGCCCCGGGCUCUUUUCGGAAACAGAGCGGAGGAACUGGCCGCACGUGCCUGUGACCACGCUGUCCGCGCAGCACCAGAGGGGGCAACGCCAGCCAUCCAGGUCAAGGCAGCGCUCCAGCGGAAACGCGUGACCCUGACCGGCAGGGCCCUUCCUCUGUCUUCCCCAGCCCAAACGGAAAGAGGAAUGUCAGAGCCAGAGCAAUUUCACAAGGUAUGGGUCAGCAUUUGAAAAGGCAUUCAACUCACUUAAGAAAAAAGUGAAACAGCAAAGAUGUCCUCAAGAUAAGGCUUUAAAUGUUGAAAUAACUAUGCGUGGGGGCUUAGUUGCUCAGUCCUCUCCGCCUCUUUGUGACCCUAUGGACUGUAGCCCACCAGGCUCCUCUGUCCAUGGGAUUCUCCAUACUGGAAUGGAGAAUACAGAAGACUAGAGUGGGUUUCCAUUUCCUUCUCCAAGGGAUCUUCCCCACCCAGGGAUCCAACCCAUGUCUCCUGCAUCGCAGGCAGAUUCUUUACCAGCUGAGCCACCAGGGAACCCCUCACAUAGCUCUUUGGAUUUAUAAUGAAGCCCCAGCUCCUAUGCUGCCUUCACCACAAAUUACCUGAAAAUUUGUCUUCUUUUAAAUAGCCCAAGCCCCACUUCCUCUCUGAAGCUGUGACUACUCGACCGGGUGAUGGGUGACUGCCCUUUUCCUAAAGCAUCUGAACUUACUGCAAGCACCUUUUGGUCCACUGAGUCAUUCAUUCACUCAAGUUUCUAUCAUAAGAGCCACUGUGUUCAGGUCAGCUUAAUGUUUAGUCUUCAAUUAAAUUGUAGACUUAAGGUUAAGAACCAUAUCUCUUUUUCUCCUUACUAAGCACAUACUCUUUUUUCUUUUUAAUAUGUAUUUAUUUAUUUGGCUGUGUCAGGUCUUAGUUGUGUCAUGCGGGAUCUUUGUUGCAAGGCACACACUCUCUGGUUGUGGCAUGCAGGCUCCGUAGUUAGCCCCCGUCACCACCACCUUCUCCUUGCUUUGCCCCAUAAUGAACCUUGUCUGCUACAAGCUCCAGCCAUGUGGAAUUGUUUGGCCUCACUUGCCUUCAGUAAUACAGGGAGGGCAGAUGGGCCUGGGGGAUGGGGGGAGCCCCACUGCUCCUAGGGGGUCCUCCUGCUCCGCAGCCACGGAGCACCCUAUCUCCCCAACUUGGGCCACAUUGGACUCCAACGUAACAGCCAUCUCCUGGCUUCUAUUCAAUCCGUGACUUUUUCCUAGCUCCUUAGAUUCCCCAGAAGGAGUCAAAUCAGUUCAGUUCAGUUCAGUCACUCAAUCGUGUCCAACUCUUUGGAGGCCUGGUGUGCUGUGGUUCAUGUGGUCGCAAAGAGUCAUACACGACUGAAUGACUGAACUGAACUGACUGAACUGAUAAGCACCAAAUCUGUGAUACCCAAUAUGCGAUGUGUUCCCUCCUUGUGCAGUGCCCAGCCUGUAUAAUCAUAUGUGACAGAGGCUGUGAGGAGUAAAAUAUUGUCUAGGGAAAUUCAUGUGCUUGAUAGUAGCUCUGUCCGGAGAGAUUGUAACUCCUUGUCAGAAAGGUAGGAUUUCAUAACCAUUAUAAUCACUAUGACUUGUUUCCAAAUGAUUUCUGAGUUUACCCAGAGAAGAUGUCAUUCAAGGAUUUUAUCUUUGUCUGGGCUCAGGAUUCUGGGGGUGGCAGGAGGCUCAGAAAACUGAAGAUAAGGGGCUCAAUCAAUUAGGACCCUCACCCUGAGUGACCCUUGACUUUACUGGGGUUUUAGAGAAAGUCCUUUAUCUCCAUUCCAAAGGCAUUACUGGAUAGAGACACAUUUGCAAUAAAAAAGAGAGAUUCCUAUUGCGUUUUGGCUCAGUUCAACAAUUCUAUGUACAAGCCACCUCAAAGAGACAAAAGCCUGGGAAUUACCUGGUCGUCCAGUGGUUUGGACUCAGAGCUCCCACUGCCCUGUCCUGGUUCAAUCUCUGGUCAGGGAAUUAAGAUCCCACAAGUUGCAUGGCUUAAAACACACACACACACACACACACACACACACACAUACACAAAACCAUCUUCCCCCAAUCGCUCCCACUUCCCCCUGGAAUUAAACAAACUCACCCAAAACAUGAACCAAAUGAAUGUGAUGACUAACGAUGUUUCUGUAAAGUGAUAUUUGUUCUUCACACGGAGAAUUUUGAAGAGCACGCAUCAAUGCGACAGUAAUUCAUUUCUCAACAUUCUGUACUGUAUUGUUAUGGGUAUUUAGCAGAAUUUACUGACCAGGUCACUGAUGAUUCUUUAGGCCAUGUUCUGGGCUUACAAACAUCUGUAGUUUAUUCCAGUUGAUCCUGGUGGUGCGUGAGGUGAGUUUAAUGAUCUCUGCAUCCUGUACAGGUACAGAGUCUAUGGGCAGGUCCUCCCGUGAUGAUGGAAAAGUUCUGCACAUGUGUCUCCAGUACACACCUGCUGAAUGCAGCCAGUAAGACUAAGGAACUAAACUUUAUAUUUGAUUUAAUGCUGCUGACCCAUCCUGCUCCAUCUUACAGGAAUGCCUUAUUUCUCAAGACUCUCCUACAUUUGAAUGAAUGAAUGAAAGAAUGAACAAACGUUACUAUUAAACCCUGAACACAACUGACACAGAGCAAUGAAAAUAUUUAUGCUGACAAUAGAAAGCACUUAAUUUCAC